CUUAGCAAAAGGGUUGAUGCAGUGAAUGACAAAGGCUGUGGGCCCUGCAAGCUUGAAGUUUGUAAUAGGUUGUUACCUUCAAGGACAGAAAUCUCAGAGUAGCACUUGGCAGCCCUGGCCCCAGGACACCUUCAGCUCCGAACCUGCCUGAAGCCGAGGGGUAAGCCACAGGGACCCGUGGGUGCGGGAGGGACACAGAGCAAGG
rnacentral:lncRNA from 14 species